CUACGGGGCGCACCAGUGAGGAAUUUUGCGCAAUGGGGGAAACCCUGACGCAGCAACGCCGCGUGAGCGAAGAAGGCCCUCGGGUCGUAAAGCUCUGUCAAGUGGGAAAAAAAUUUUUUGAUCAAUAGUCAAAAGACUUGAUGGUACCACUGGAGGAAGCACCGGCUAACUCCGUGCCAGCAGCCGCGGUAAUACGGAGGGUGCGAGCGUUGUUCGGAUUUACUGGGCGUAAAGAGCGUGUAGGCGGUUUAGCAAGUCAGAUGUGAAAGCCCUGGGCUCAACCCGGGAAGUGCAUUUGAAACUGCUUCACUAGAGUAUGGGAGAGGAGAUUGGAAUUCCUGGUGUAGAGGUGAAAUUCGUAGAUAUCAGGAGGAACACCCGUGGCGAAGGCGAUUCUCUGGACCAAUACUGACGCUGAGACGCGAAAGCGUGGGGAGCAAACAGGAUUAGAUACCCGGGUAGUC
rnacentral:rRNA from 1 species